rnacentral:rRNA from 1 species
UACGUAGGGACCAAGCGUUGUCCGGAAUCAUUGGGCGUAAAGAGCGUGUAGGCGGCUUGUUAAGUCUUGCGUGAAAUCUCGGGGCUCAACCCCGAGCGGUCGUGAGAAACUGGCAGGCUAGAGUGCGGGAGAGGAGAGUGGAAUUCCUGGUGUAGCGGUGAAAUGCGCAGAUAUCAGGAAGAACACCGGUGGCGAAGGCGCACACCUGGCCCGAUACUGACGCUGAGGCGCGAAAGCUAGGGGAGCAAACGGG